rnacentral:rRNA from 1 species
AUGAACGCUGGCGGCGUGCCUAACACAUGCAAGUCGGAUGUGCCGCAAGGUGCAUGGCAGACGGGUGAGUAACGCGUGGGGAAUCUACCUCUUUGUGGGGAAUAACGCUCCGAAAGGAGUGGUAAUACCGCAUGAGACCGCGGACUGGGAUGUUCGUGGUGAAACCUGGGGACCGGCAACGGCCUGGGGCAAGGAGAGGAUCCUGCGUCUGAUUAGCUAGUUGGCGGGGUAAUGGCCCACCAAGGCGACGAUCAGUAGCCGGCCUGAGAGGGUGAUCGGCCACACUGGAACUGAGACACGGUCCAGACUCCUACGGGAGGCAGCAGUGGGGAAUUUUGCGCAAUGGGCGAAAGCCUGACGCAGCAACGCCGCGUGGGUGAUGAAGGUCUUCGGACUGUAAAACCCUGUCGUCAGGGACGAAGGUGUGCAUGUUAAUAGCGUGUGCGCUUGACGGUACCUGGAGAGGAAGCCCCGGCUAACUCUGUGCCAGCAGCCGCGGUAAUACAGAGGGGGCAAGCGUUAU